rnacentral:rRNA from 1 species
GAUGAACGCUGGCGGCGUGCCUAAUACAUGCAAGUCGAGCGAACGGACGAGAAGCUUGCUUUUCUGAUGUUAGCGGCGGACGGGUGAGUAACACGUGGAUAACCUACCUAUAAGACUGGGAUAACUUCGGGAAACCGGAGCUAAUACCGGAUAAUAUUUUGAACCGCAUGGUUCAAAAGUGAAAGACGGUCUUGCUGUCACUUAUAGAUGGAUCCGCGCUGCAUUAGCUAGUUGGUAAGGUAACGGCUUACCAAGGCAACGAUGCAUAGCCGACCUGAGAGGGUGAUCGGCCACACUGGAACUGAGACACGGUCCAGACUCCUACGGGAGGCAGCAGUAGGCAAUCUUCCGCAAUGGGCGAAAGCCUGACGGAGCAACGCCGCGUGAGUGAUGAAGGUCUUCGGAUCGUAAAACUCUGUUAUUAGGGAAGAACAUAUGUGUAAGUAACUGUGCACAUCUUGACGGUACCUAAUCAGAAAGCCACGGCUAACUACGUG